rnacentral:rRNA from 1 species
GACGAACCGUGCGAACGUUAUUCGGAAUCACUGGGCUUAAAGGGCGCGUAGGCGGCCAUGCGUGUCUUCCGUGAAAUCCCUCGGCUUAACUGAGGACGUGCGGAAGAAACUGCAAGGCUCGAGUCCGGGAGAGGGGGGUGGAAUUCCCAGUGUAGCGGUGAAAUGCGUAGAUAUUGGGAGGAACACCGGUGGCGAAGGCGGCCCCCUGGACCGGUACUGACGCUGAGGCGCGAAAGCGUGGGUAGCAAACGGG